CCUACGGGUGGCAGCAGUGAGGAAUAUUGGUCAAUGGGCGAGAGUCUGAACCAGCCAAGUCGCGUGAAGGAUGACUGACCUAUGGUUUGUAAACUUCUUUUAUAAGGGAAUAAAGCGAGGCACGUGUUCCUUUUUGUAUGUACUUUAUGAAUAAGCAUCGGCUAACUCCGUGCCAGCAGCCGCGGUAAUACGGAGGAUGCGAGCGUUAUCCGGAUUUAUUGGGUUUAAAGGGUGCGUAGAUGGGUACUUAAGUCAGUGGUGAAAGUUUGUGGCUCAACCGUAAAAUUGCCAUUGAUACUGGUUGACUUGAGUAUAUUUGAGGUAGGCGGAAUGCGUGGUGUAGCGGUGAAAUGCAUAGAUAUCACGAAGAACCCCGAUUGCGAAGGCAGCUUACUAAACUAUGACUGACACUGAAGCUCGAAAGUGUGGGUAUCAAACAGGAUUAGAUACCCAUGUAGUC
rnacentral:rRNA from 1 species